rnacentral:lncRNA from 1 species
UUGAGGUUCAUGGUUUUUAGGCGCCCGGACGGGGUAUGGGGACGGUCCUGGAAUUAAGUUAUUAAUGUUAAUGAUUCACGUGUAGUGGCGACCCCCUAUGGAUUCCCAUGGAUACUAGUAGGCUGAUAAAAGAGGAAAUUUAUUGUCUGAUUAUUGAGGUACAAAAGUAUAACAUGUGUUACGUUACAAAGUGUAUAUGAUUUUAUGAUGUUUAUAAUGUUAUUGUUUUCAUAUGUUAUUUUCACGAAUCUCACCGAGUUAAGUGGACAGUAAAGGUUUUUAUUAUUGAUAAAUGAAUUUAUCAUGAAUUAUGCUCCAUUGGUUGUUUUUAUUUUUCUACAAAUCUUUACUUCUGUGAUAGU